GUUUCUUUCUUCACUCUUUGUUGUUCGCCCUGUGAACUAUCAACAUGAUUAUCAUUAUCAAGAUGGUGUUCAUCAUGCAUGAUGACAACUGUCGAUUUCAUCUUUUUUCAUUGCCGUUGAUACUUCCAUCAAGUUGAUGAUAAACCUAUCAAAAUAUGGAUACUUGAAUAAGUAUCAAGUUAUAUUUUUUGAUUGAUUGGCUGUCCAAAGGUAUAAUUAUCGAUUUAAAUUAGUCUGUCAAUCACUACCUUCUCAAUGAUUAUCCUUUUCAGUGUUUCCGACUGACACUAAUUAAAUCUAAUAUGAAGUUCAUCUACGGGUUCUUCAAAUGUCUUUUUAGAGCAAAUUUUUCUUCUUUCAUUGUCAAACAUCAUUUUUGAUCACUUCUUAUUCAGUUCAUUAUCAUUAUCUCUAUUGCAGUAAUUAAUCAAUAUUCAGAGAUACAGAGAAACGUAAUUAACGCCAUCUUUUUUUUCUAUUUUCAACUCGCCAAGAAAUUACACCUGUUUUGUUUUCAUGAGUUUGUUCACGAUUAAGCGCUAAUUAAUAAGCAAGGAUACUCUACACUUGAGAGUUUGGAAGAAUUGAAUAUCGAAAUCAAAUGCAAACAAGGAACGAUGCGAGGGAUGAUACAUCUGAUAAAAAAUUACAAUCAAGUUACAUGAUUUGAAAAACUGUUCAUUUGG